rnacentral:rRNA from 1 species
UAAGUGAUCCACUGGGGAGUACGGCCGCAAGGCUGAAACUCAAAGGAAUUGACGGGGGCCCGCACAAGCGGAGGAACAUGUGGUUUAAUUCGAUGAUACGCGAGGAACCUUACCUGGGCUUAAAUGUAGAGUGCAUGUAGUGGAAACAUUACUUCCCUUCGGGGCUCUUUGCAAGGUGCUGCAUGGUUGUCGUCAGCUCGUGCCGUGAGGUGUCGGGUUAAGUCCCAUAACGAGCGCAACCCUUAUCGUUAGUUGCCAGCGGGUAAAGCCGGGGACUCUAGCGAAACUGCCGGUGUAAACCGAGAGGAAGGUGGGGAUGACGUCAAAUCAGCACGGCCCUUAUGUCCAGGGCUACACACGUGUUACAAUGGCCGGUACAGAGGGCAGCUACCUGGAGACAGGAUGCGAAUCUCGAAAGCCGGUCUCAGUUCGGAUCGGAGUCUGCAACUCGACUCCGUGAAGCUGGAUUCGCUAGUAAUCGCGCAUCAGCCAUGGCGCGGUGAAUACGUUCCCGGGCCUUGUACACACCGCCCGUCAAGCCAUGGAAGUUGGGGGUACCUGAAGUCCGUAACCGCAAGGAGCGGCCUAGGGUAAAACUAGUGACUGGGGCUAAGUCGUAACAAGGUAACC